AUUCUUGAAAAUGAUUUUGUAGUUUAAUUUUUGUCACAUUUUUUCUCCCAAAAGAUUGAAUCCUAAAUUUCAAAGGCCCCACACCCGAUCCGACGGAGCAUUUUGGAAGGGUGCAAAUCACGGUAGCAGACAUGACUAAAUGCCGCUUUGAAGGGAUGGUCAAGUGAGUGGAGCAUAAUUUUCAUACUUGAAAGGUUACGAGUUCAAUUCAAUUAUUGUCAACACCUUUCCUGUACUCAAGUCCGUUACACACGAUGUUUUUGAAGAGGCACGUACUACAUGUCUCUGUUGGUCAGUUGAAUCAUCAUGAUUUACCCUUCUAUAAAGUGUUGAUUCGAAGUGUGGUGAUGCUGAAGUGCGCGAUUCCACCUUAAUUAUGUCAAAAAAUUACUCAAGUGUAGUGAUGCCUGAAGUUUAAUAAAUAUGCUAUUA